rnacentral:rRNA from 1 species
CCUACGGGGGGCAGCAGUGAGGAAUAUUGGUCAAUGACGAGAGUCUGAACCAGCCAAGUAGCGUGAAGGAUGACUGCCCCAUGGGUUGUAAACUUCUUUUAUAUGGGAAUAAAAUGUUUCACGUGUGGGAUUUUGUAUGUACCAUAUGAAUAAGGAUCGGCUAACUCCGUGCCAGCAGCCGCGGUAAUUCGGAGGAUCCGAGCGUUAUCCGGAUUUAUUGGGGUUAAAGGGAGCGUAGGUGGAUUGUUAAGUCAGUUGUGAAAGUUUGCGGCUCAACCGUAAAAUUGCAGUUGAAACUGGCAGUCUUGAGUACAGUAGAGGUGGGCGGAAUUCGUGGUGUAGCGGUGAAAUGCUUAGAUAUCACGAAGAACUCCGAUUGCGAAGGCAGCUCACUGGACUGCAACUGACACUGAGGCUCGAAAGUGUGGGUAUCAAACAGGAUUAGAUACCCUUGUAGUC